rnacentral:lncRNA from 1 species
CUCUUUGUAAUGUAUAUUACUAGCAACAUAGAGCAUCAUACUACAUUUCAAUAUUCUUCUUACUACUGUUCUUAGCUAAAGUUUUAUACAUCCCUAGUUAAUGCCAGCCUGUCAUAGAAACUAUCAUAAUAAACCUCCGUAGGCUCUGAUACAUAUCCAUGCUUUUUGUAUAUACUUGAAAAGAUGAUGAUGGUUAAAAUACAAAAGUCCAGCAAUUUGAAUGUUCUCUAUGAAUGCAGAUAGCUCAAGACUAAAGAGUAUGAUCAAAAAAAGAAUCCAAAUGGUCCUAUAAAAUUUUUGAUCACUUUAAAGAUGUCAACAUGUAGAUUUACAUUGUAACCAUAAAUUUAAAUAUCAAAAGGUUCUUUUUUGAUAUAUGUAUGAGGCAAAUGGAUCACACUUCAUGGAGAAAGAUGUAGAAUCUAUUUGUGAGAAUUGAAAAAAUGCCAUGAUAAAGUUAAACCCUGAGUUUUAGUGCGACAGAGUUGAACUAAUAAAUAAUAUCCUCCUCCAUAGUGACAAAGUUUUCCCUCUAAUAUUCUCUUCCAUGGAGAUGACGCACAAUGAGAGUUAUUGGUUUUGGUGAUUCACAAACUAAAUUAUAUUCAAGGACAAAGGAAAUAUAUAACUAUAACAAAAGUUACCAUAAAUUAUACGAAUUACAACCCACUAGAGAAAACAAAUAAACAAGCAUUACCUCAAACUUAGUACAAAAGGCUUCUGCCUCCGCAGGUGGUGGAUAACACCAAAAUUUCCUUGCUUUCACAUUCACUUGAUAAAUAGAUGUUUCAUGCAAUCCUAUUUUUUAGGCCAUAAAGGGCUAUUAGAAAAUGAAUUUAUAGCUUCAUUCCUAUCUUUUCAAUUUUUGAAUUCAUUAAAGAAAUCUAAAGUUUGUUUACCAAAAAGAAAGAAAUCUAAAGUUUCUUAAUUAAUAGUUUAAAACACUUUAUAUCCAUAAACAUUAAACAUUUAAAAAUUUUCUGUUUCUUUUUCUUUUUCUUUCUUGAGUUCUUGGAGAGGAAAGUUGGGAGACCCAUCAAUUCAUUUUAAUAGAAUUGAAAUGUUUAUGAAAUAGUUUUAAGAAGCAUAACUGAUUGACAUAUACAAGUUUAGAAGAUAAUUUAGAAGUAGCAACAGAAGCCCAUUUUGACCUGAAAACCUUGAUAUUCUUGAGGAUAAU